UGGGGAAUAUUGGACAAUGGGCGCAAGCCUGAUCCAGCAAUGCCGCGUGUGUGAAGAAGGCCUGCGGGUUGUAAAGCACUUUUGUUCGGGAAGAAAUCAUGCUGGUUAAUACCUGGUAUGGAUGACGGUACCGAAAGAAUAAGCACCGGCUAACUUCGUGCCAGCAGCCGCGGUAAUACGAAGGGUGCAAGCGUUAAUCGGAAUUACUGGGCGUAAAGGGUGCGUAGGCGGCCUUUUAAGUCGGAUGUGAAAUCCCCGGGCUCAACCUGGGAAUGGCAUCCGAUACUGGGAGGCUAGAGUUUGGGAGAGGGUGGUGGAAUUCCCGGUGUAGCGGUGAAAUGCGUAGAGAUCGGGAGGAACAUCAGUGGCGAAGGCGGCCACCUGGCCUAAAACUGACGCUGAAGCACGAAAGCGUGGGGAGCAAACAGG
rnacentral:rRNA from 1 species